UACGGAGGGUGCAAACGUUGCUCGGAAUUAUUGGGCGUAAAGCGCACGUAGGCGGCCGAAUAAGUCGGGUGUGAAAGCCCUGGGCUCAACCCAGGAAGUGCACUCGAAACUGCUCGGCUUGAAUAUGGAAGAGGGUCGCGGAAUUCCCGGUGUAGAGGUGAAAUUCGUAGAUAUUCGGAAGAACACCAGUGGCGAAGGCGACUUACUGGACACAUAUUGACGCUGAGGUGCGAAAGCGUGGGGAGCAAACAGG
rnacentral:rRNA from 1 species